GACGGAUGGUUCAAGCUUUGUUCGGAAUCACUGGGCGAAAAGCGCGUGUAGGCGGUUCGAUAAGUCGGACGUGAAAGCCCGGGGCUUAACCCCGGAAGGGCAUCCGAAACUGUCGAGCUUGAGUACGGGAGAGGGAAGCGGAAUUCCUGGUGGAGAGGUGAAAUUCGUAGAUAGCAGGAGGAACACCGGUGGCGAAGGCGGCUUCCUGGACCGAUACUGACGCGGAGACGCGACAGCGGGGGGAGAAAACAGGAUUAGAUAACACCGUAGUCC
rnacentral:rRNA from 1 species